rnacentral:lncRNA from 1 species
UUUCGUUUUCAGUUUGCGCGGCAGUUGUGUCCGAAGUUGGUUUGAUGUCGGCCUGUUGGAUUUCUGUGGCUUCUUCAACGCCCUCGGCAGUAAAGUUGUUUUCUUGCAGUUUUAGGACGCAUUCGAUGGUGUUGAUUGUAAUGACGGCUGGUUCGUAGUAGAGUUUGGUCCAUGGUACGUGUAUGUGUAGUUCGUGGAUUUUCCCGCUCAG